rnacentral:lncRNA from 1 species
AACUGUUGCAUUCUAUAAAUCAUUUCCUCUUUAUAGAUACAAAACUAUCCUUAGAGAGGCAUCAAUAACCAAACAGGGAUUCUAACAUUUCUGCUUCAAGUCCAUACUCCAUGUAUCUCAUAAUAUCCUUUUCUGUUUCACUAGAUUACUUCUUCAAAGUUAGGAUAACAACCUUUCAAAGAGACAAAAUCAGUCAUUUUAUUGAGGAUUACAAAUGGUGAUUUUCUAAUUCUAUAAUUCUUUCUAAAUUUAAUUGCUAUUCUUCUGUUAAAAAGAUCUUACUGAGGGGAGGCGUGAUAGGGAUACGGUAUUAAGAGGUACAAACUUCAACAUGUAAAAUAAAUAAGCUGCAAGUACACAUUGUACAGCACAAGGAAUAUAGCCAAUAUUUUGUGAUAAUUAUAAAUGGGUCAUAAUCUAUACAAAUUUUGAAUCACUAUAUUGUACACCUGAAACUAAUAAUAUUGUAUAUCAACUAUACCUUAAUUAAAAAUUUGAUCAACUAGGAUUAUACAUUUUCUACUACAAAACAGUUUAAGUCCUUCCUUUUAACUAAAAUUUUGAGUGUAAGUAGUUGGUAUAAUAAUUACUUAAAAUUGUGAAAUAGGUUUUUUUUUUUUUUUGCUUUUGCUAUUUUGAGUUUAGUAUAGAUUAAAGGAUUUAUACAUAUGAAAUUAUAAUCAUCUUUUUUUUAUGUGCUACUCAACUAACAUUUUAUCUGUUGGGCCAACUUUAAAAUAGGCUACUUUGUCUUUUUGAUACAACUCCAUUCAUUUCCUUAUUUUCUGAUACAAAGGAUGUUUCAGACUCACAUUAUAACGUUCCUACUCUAGACAUAUAUGUAUACAAUGUGUAUAUUUAUAUAUUAUUUUUCAUAUCUCAUUUUCAAAAUUACUGUGAUGAAAUUUGUACAGUUUUUUUCACUGAAAUAGUGUCAUUCACAAUGAUUUAUUGGUUUUAUUCUCUUUUAAAUAUCUUUACAAGAAAAGGAUACUCACAUUUUAGGAGUUCAGAGUAAAUGAUCCUCAUAUAAUUUAUUAGGUCUAGUAUGUUAAUUUUUUAUUAAGCAUCUUUAACACAAAAGCUAUAAUACAUCACUGAGAAAGCCAGAUUUUAUAUGUUAGUGACUAGUUAGCCUUCUUCUAAAACUGUACAAUGUGGUUUGCAUUAAUUCCUUCACUACCCUUUUCCUACUCAAUUUGAAGUGUGAAUCAUUAGGAGAAAAGAUUUUCCUACAUCUUUGUAAAUUCCCCAUAGUUCAGUCUUUGGUGAGGCUAAUAAUAAGUAUACUCAGUGUGAAUUUUGAUAGGAAAGGCAGUUGGUAACCUUUGCCCUUUUUGAAUGUCAGACAGGCUUCAAAUAAAAAUCCCACUGGGUUCUUGUUUACAGCAAUCUUAUCCUCUGUUUUUUCUUACAACACCAAAGUAAAACAUAGAAUUUUAAAUGAAUAAACCCAUAGAUAUACAAGAAAAUUGUGAAAUCAUAUUUUUUCUUAUAAAAGAAGAAAAAUAUCAAUGAGAAAAUAAACUCUGUCCAUUUUUCCAGACAGCUCUUCCUAUUUCCUGUUACUUUGGAUAGAGUUGAAAAGUUAUUUCAAGGUCUCAUGUCCCUUCUCUGUAAAGUGGGCAUAUUAACCAUAUCUAAUUUGUGAGUGUUUUAAGGAUUUAGUGGGGUGAUUUAAGCCAAGAUUUUGGCACAACGACUAAAACAAUCAUUGUGACAAACACAUGCAUGCUGACUACAGAUACAUUGAGAAGUUAGGAGCAAAAAAAGAUGAUAGAGAUGGGAUGGGUAGCCUUUUCAUUUGAAGAGGCUUAAAUGAUCCAUAAUUUUCAACAAUCAACUAACAAAUGAUGGAAACCAUGGACUGGAGAGUGUGAGGGAAAUGUUCAUUGAGGACAGAUUCCAAAUGAGCCCCAUGUCUGUGCUAAAACCAGGCUGAAAAUUUAAAUUGCAGAGCAUUUAGUGACAUAGAAAAGUGGGAGUUUUUAACUUAAUGUAUUAGUGAGCUAAUGUUUGCCUUUUAUUUAUGUCUACUAUUUUAAAUUCUCCAUUCAAUUCUAUUCCAGUUUUAGUGCAUGAUGGAAUAAAAACACCUUACCUCAUGAAAGAAAGCUGUGAAAUGCACAGAAAAGAUAAAAUAACCUGAGUGCUCUUAUCCUAAGACAAAUAUAAGAACCAAUAGAGGAAUUAUGUUCAAUGAAAUCUAAUUACCACUUGUAAUUAAUUUCUCACUUAGACUAUAUAUUUCCUGCAUUAUAUUAAAUGGUGAUGAGAAAUAAGAUCUCAAUUAUAAAGUAACUUAGAAAAAGAAACUAAAGUUCUGUUUCUGUAUCUCAUUCUCACCAAACUGAUAGCUUUCUACCUUUAUUGUUAUUAUUAUUAUUUCCCAAUACAUUAUUUUUUUUCUACUGUACAGCAUGGAGAUCCAGUUACACAUAUAUGUAUACAUUAUUUUUUCUCACAUUAUCAUGCUCCAUCAUAAGUGACUAGAUAUAGUUCCCAGUGCUACACAGCAGGAUCUCAUUUCUAUCCAUUCCAAAGGCAAUAGUCUUCAUCUAUUAACCUCAAGCUCACAAUCCAUCCCACUCCCUCCCCUUCCCCUUGGCAACCACAAGUCUAUUCCCAAGUUCAUGAUUUUCUUUUCUGUGGAAAGGUUUAUAUGAUAUCACUUAUAUCUGGAAUCUAAUAUAUGGCACAAAUGAAACUUUUCACAGCUUUCUAACUUUUGCUUACAUUUUCGUAAGAAGAGUUCUGUUUCUAAUGAACAUAUUUGUCAUCAAAUGUAAUUUAUAAAAAUUAAAAAUAAAUUACUUAACAUUUAAGAAAUAGCUGUAUACUUUCUGUAUAUUACUUUGGAAAAUAUAUGUUAAAUACAUGCAUUCUAAUGUAUUUAAAACUAACUUUUCUCAACAAAUGAAGCCCAAAGUUAGUAGAAAGAAGGAAAUAGCAAAUAAAAAAAAUUGAAGAGAAUAAAAUAGGGACUAAAAGGCAAUACAUGAUCUGUGAAACUAAGAUUCAGUUCUCUAAAAAGAAAUUCAUCAGCUUUUGGCAAG